CUUGGGAGAAUGACUUCUUAGUAUAAUAUAUGUAUGUGCUUUUUAUAUAUUUAUAUUAUAAUUAGGAAAUAUCACGAAAUGUGAAUGUAAUUCUAGGUAAAAGAUUGAUAAUGACAAAUUUUUAUCUAUAUGUCUUGACCAAAUCUUGUGCCAGCAGUCGCGGCAACACAAGGAAGACUAGUGUUAUUCAUCUUAAAUAGGUUUAUGGGGUACCUAGACGGUAAAUUAGGCCUUAAAUGGAACGUUUUUACUAGAGUUAUACAUGCGUGGGGAUUGUGUAAGUAUUACCAGAGUAGAGAUGCAAUUUUUUAAUACUGUUAAGACUGGUAAAGGCGAAGGCAAACCUUUAUAUAUUAACUGACGUUGAGGGACGAAGGCUUGGGGCGCAAACAGGAUUAGAUACCCUAAUAGUCCAGGCAGAGAAUUAUGAAUGUC
rnacentral:rRNA from 1 species